GGUUAUCUUCUCCCCUUAUUUCUCCUUCUUUUCUUUCUUUUCUUUUCCCAUCUCUUUCUCACUUUCACGCUGCUUCUCCAUUUCUUUUCUUCCCUUCUCCUUUUCCUUUCUUCCUCUCCUGAUUUCUCUCCUCCUUCUCUCUUCUUCACACACGCACACGUUGUGAGGGAAAGAGCCCGAGACUGUGAGAGAGGUAGUGAGCUACCAAAUGUGAGAGUGACCUAUUGGUGUGGUGGCUCGGUGCCGAAAAGAAGAAGAGGGUUCCGGCCAUGAGGGACUUUGAAGCACGUGUUAUGAUUGGAGAGUUCAACUUGUUCUCCAAUAUAGAGUUCAAGUAAAUAGAAUACGGGGAGUAUUCGAAUCAUGAAUCCUAUGCAGCCAAGAUGUUCUUUUGGCUGCAGGUACUCCGGUCGUAGGGGAGAGUGUUGUAGAUGUGCACUUGGGAUAAUAUGACCGAAGCUCGCCGCGACUGUAGUAAUGGUUGGACCACAGUUGUCCACUAUUUUAUAGGUUUUGUUUAUGACUUGUGACGCUUUGGUCACUUGUUAUUGUAUAAGCCAUUCCUGUUGUUUAAAUAUUAUGUUGAUAAGACUUAAACAUAUAGAUGUUAAAUGGCUCUGUAUUGUAAAUAAUUUGUAAUAGAUGUAUAAGCUAUGCUUUUCGCUAUUCAA